CAGGGAGGUAUCUGGACCCUACCGGUUUCAGUACCACAGGACUUUACCAGGGAGGUAUCUGGACCCUACCGGUUUCAGUACCACAGGACUUUACCAGGGAGGUCCAGGUUUCAGUACCACAGGACUUUACCAGGGAGGUCCAGGUUUCAGUACCACAGGACUUUACCAGGGAGGUCCAGGUUUCAGUACCACAGGACUUUACCAGGGAGGUCCAGGUUUCAGUACCACAGGACUUUACCAGGGAGGUCCAGGUUUCAGUACCACAGGACUUUACCAGGGAGGUCCAGGUUUCAGUACCACAGGACUUUACCAGGGAGGUCCAGGUUUCAGUACCACAGGACUUUACCAGGGAGGUCCAGGUUUCAGUACCACAGGACUUUACCAGGGAGGUCCAGGUUUCAGUACCACAGGACUUUACCAGGGAGGUCCAGGUUUCAGUACCACAGGA